rnacentral:rRNA from 1 species
UUGGUAAGGUAAAAGGCUUACCAAGGCGAUGAUGCAUAGCCGAGUUGAGAGACUGAUCGGCCACAUUGGGACUGAGACACGGCCCAAACUCCUACGGGAGGCAGCAGUAGGGAAUCUUCCACAAUGGACGCAAGUCUGAUGGAGCAACGCCGCGUGAGUGAAGAAGGUUUUCGGAUCGUAAAGCUCUGUUGUUGGUGAAGAAGGAUAGAGGUAGUAACUGGCCUUUAUUUGACGGUAAUCAACCAGAAAGUCACGGGCUAACUACGUGCCAGCAGCCGCGGUAAAAU